UUUCUUACAACGCAAAAAAUCACGUUCGCUCAAAGCAAUCAGUUCGAGAAGCCCGUCGUUCCUUGUGAACGAUGUGAGGCUCCAUGACAACCGGUUCGUCAGCAGAAACGGAGAGGAAAUUAGUCGAUUAUGGGUGAAGCGUUCUCCUUUUCCCUAUGGAGAGGGUUUCAAUGAUUGACCAAACAU
rfam:Glarea lozoyensis 74030 unplaced genomic scaffold M7I_scaffold2, whole genome shotgun sequence.